rnacentral:rRNA from 1 species
UGGCUCAGGAUGAACGCUAGCGACAGGCUUAACACAUGCAAGUCGAGGGGCAGCACAGGUAGCAAUACUGGGUGGCGACCGGCGCACGGGUGCGUAACGCGUAUGCAACCUACCUAUAAUAGGGGGAUAGCCUUCUGAAAGGGAGAUUAAGACCGCAUAAUACAACUGAAUCGCAUGGAUUAGUUGUAAAAUAUUUAUAGAUUAUAGAUGGGCAUGCGUCUGAUUAGAUAGUUGGAGAGGUAACGGCUCACCAAGUCAACGAUCAGUAGGGGUUCUGAGAGGAAGGUCCCCCACACCGGAACUGAGACACGGUCCGGACUCCUACGGGAGGCAGCAGUGAGGAAUAUUGGUCAAUGGGCGAGAGCCUGAACCAGCCAAGUCGCGUGAAGGAAGAAGGUCUUAUGGAUUGUAAACUUCUUUUAUAGGGGAAUAAAGAUGAGUACGUGUACUCAGUUGUAGGUACCCUAAGAAUAAGGAUUGGCUAACUCCGUGCCAGCAGCCGCGGUAAUACGGAGGAUCCGAGCGUUAUCCGGAUUUAUUGGGUUUAAAGGGUGCGUAGGCGGGUUGAUAAGUCAGUGGUGAAAGGUUUGCGCUCAACGUAGACAUUGCCAUUGAAACUGUCAGUCUUGAGUACAAAUGAGGUAGGCGGAAUGUGUUGUGUAGCGGUGAAAUGCAUAGAUAUGACACAGAACACCAAUUGCGAAGGCAGCUUUGGCUCAGGAUGAACGCUAGCGACAGGCUUAACACAUGCAAGUCGAGGGGCAGCACAGGUAGCAAUACUGGGUGGCGACCGGCGCACGGGUGCGUAACGCGUAUGCAACCUACCUAUAAUAGGGGGAUAGCCUUCUGAAAGGGAGAUUAAGACCGCAUAAUACAACUGAAUCGCAUGGAUUAGUUGUAAAAUAUUUAUAGAUUAUAGAUGGGCAUGCGUCUGAUUAGAUAGUUGGAGAGGUAACGGCUCACCAAGUCAACGAUCAGUAGGGGUUCUGAGAGGAAGGUCCCCCACACCGGAACUGAGACACGGUCCGGACUCCUACGGGAGGCAGCAGUGAGGAAUAUUGGUCAAUGGGCGAGAGCCUGAACCAGCCAAGUCGCGUGAAGGAAGAAGGUCUUAUGGAUUGUAAACUUCUUUUAUAGGGGAAUAAAGAUGAGUACGUGUACUCAGUUGUAGGUACCCUAAGAAUAAGGAUUGGCUAACUCCGUGCCAGCAGCCGCGGUAAUACGGAGGAUCCGAGCGUUAUCCGGAUUUAUUGGGUUUAAAGGGUGCGUAGGCGGGUUGAUAAGUCAGUGGUGAAAGGUUUGCGCUCAACGUAGACAUUGCCAUUGAAACUGUCAGUCUUGAGUACAAAUGAGGUAGGCGGAAUGUGUUGUGUAGCGGUGAAAUGCAUAGAUAUGACACAGAACACCAAUUGCGAAGGCAGCUU